rnacentral:tRNA from 1 species
GAAAGGUGAAAAAACGGACUACGAAUCCGUAGGUCGGGAGUUCGAAUCUCUCCUGGUGCACCA